rnacentral:rRNA from 1 species
UAAACUAGGAUUAGAUACCCUAUUAUUUUAGGAUGUUAAUUGUUUUGCUUGACUAGUAUUAGUUAUUUUCUUGAAACUUAAAGAAUUUGGCGGUAUCUCAUUCCGUCCAGAGGAAUCUGUCCCGUUAUCGAUAGUCCGCGUUGGACCUUACUUGGAUUGCUUUGGUUUGUAUACCGCCGUUUAUUGAUUAUCUUUUUAGAGUUUAUUUAAUUUUCUUGUUUCUUUAUUUUGGUUUAUUUCAGGUCAAGGUGCAGCUUGUUUCUAAGUGGAUUGAUGGAUUACAUUGUUAUUUGUUUGUGGAUUGUUGAUUUUAAUAUUGAUAUGAAAUUGGAUUUGGUUGUAAUAAUUUGUAGAUUGUUAUUGUGAUAAAUGGUUCUGGGAUAUGCACACAUCGCCCGUCGCUCUCGUUUAUUUAAUGAGAUAAGUCGUAACAUAGUA